UACGUAGGUGGCAAGCGUUAUCCGGAAUGAUUGGGCGUAAAGGGUUCGCAGGUGGCAAUGUAAGUCUGCUGUCAAAGAAUGAGGCUUAACCUCAUCAAGGCAGUGGAAACUACAUAGCUAGAGUACGGUCGGGGUAGAAGGAAUUCCUGGUGUAGCGGUGAAAUGCGUAGAGAUCAGGAAGAACACCGGUGGCGAAAGCGUUCUGCUAGACCUGUACUGACACUGAGGGACGAAAGCUAGGGGAGCGAAUGGG
rnacentral:rRNA from 1 species